AUGGCGCAGUCCUAGAUAGCUUCAGCCUCGCCGAAGCCCAGGAGAGAGGUUGAGGCAAGGGGGGCACCGACCGCGCAGCACAGAGGAGACGCCGCCAGGAGCCGGCCGGUGAUCCCUGGCAGGGCCCGCAGCGCCACCAUGGUGAAGAUCUUCGUCGGGGGACUGUCCCCCGUGGUCACGGCGGAGGAGCUGCGGAAGCUCUUCCAGCAGUACGGACAGGUCAACGAGUGCGACAUCCUGAAGAACUUCGCCUUCGUGCACAUGGAGAAGGAGGACGAGGCCCACCAGGCCAUCAGCGCCCUGCACAAGAGCGAGUUCUACGGGGCCCACCUGACGGUGGAGUACGCCACCUCCAAGAUCCGCAACGCCACCAAGAUCUACGUGGGCAACGUCUCGGCCAAGGCCACCACGUCCCAGGUCCGGCAGCUCUUCGAGCGCUUCGGCAAGGUGGUGGAGUGCGACAUCGUGAAGAACUACGCCUUCGUGCACAUGGCCAAGGAGCGGGAGGCCAUGGACGCCAUCCUGAACCUGAACGACACGCCGCUGGAGGACCAGAAGAUCUUCGUCACCCUCUCCAAGAGCAACAGCUCCCUCCGGGCGGCCAAGGGGGCCGCCUUGGCCCCCGCGGCCCCCGCCACGCCCAGCUACUACUUCUCCCGGGGACGGAUCCCUACCCCGGCGCCCGCCUACACCCCCUACUGUCCCCGGGCCUGGUACGACAGGGAGUACUGCGACCACUACUCCUACGAGCUGUACGACCGGGCCCGCGCGGCGUACGACCGGGCCCUGCCCGCCCCGACUGCCGCGGCCGCCUACCGGGAAAGAAGCCCCGUGGGCCGGCGGACGGCGGCCCCCGCCACCGUCAUGGCCCAGUACACUGACCCUUACGCGGCCGCGGCGGCCGCGGCGGCCACGGCGGCCGCCAACCAGACCUACAGCCAAGCCUACAGCCAGCCCGGAUACGCGGCCGCGGCCGCCGCGGCCGCCACGUACUCGCAGUACAACCUCGGCACGGCCUACAACGUGGCCGAAUACUACGAGCGGUACGCCAGCACCUACACCGCGCAGUACGCCCAGACGUUCUGAGGGACCGGCACCCGCCCCCAAUUUCUUUGCAGGCUCCCGGGCAGCACCGGCUGGUGUCUCUGAAGCUCUUUGCAGAGCACUGACCUGCACUGGUAUUGUACUCCAGCCUCCUGCCCAGCUGUUUCGGGAAGGAGCGAGGGGAUCGGGGCAUGGUCCACACGCGGGCGGAGCUGACCCGAAGGAACGCUACCUCCCGUCCUGCCCUGCGGCCAUCCGACGCGACUCGGGAGCCUCACCGGGCCACCCUCCGAGCGACCAUCCAGCUGCUCCCUGCUUCCCUCUUCGCUCUGCUCCUAGAGUAGGCGCUGGAAAGAGAGGUGUGGUGGGGGGGUGGCCGGCCGGCGGAGGGGCCCCUGGCGCAGCAACGGGGUCCCGCGAGGAUGCCGUGUUGGGACCUGGCUUCUCUGCCCGCCCUGCUCCGCAGCCCUCCGUGGGCCGCACGGUCUCUGGGGCAAGCGCCCCCCAACAUUGCUGCUUGGGCAGGAGGGCCUCCCCACCGUGGGCACUGGCUCCCGUGCCCCACGCUUUCUUCCACUGGGGAGAAGACACGGGGGCAGGUGAAGAGCGUGCCUCCGCCGCCCUUGCUAGCCCGCGGCUACGGAUCCCAAGGAGCUGCCUCCCUCGCCCCCAGGCCACGGAGUGGGAUGAGGCGGGGCGAGGGGAGGGUCCUGUGCGGGACACAAGCCUCCGCGGGCUGGACUGGGCCCACGAGCUCCAAGCGGCUCGCCUCUGAAGCAGGAGGCACUGCGGGAAGUGGGGACCAAUGGUUUCUGCUCCUGGGCGGGAACAGCAAAUGAGGAUGAUUGUUGAUCUGCUGGGGCCGAGAGGUUACGGGCCGGCAGGCCUGCCUCGCGGUGGGAGGAGGGCUGGGCUGGCAGCCCGCAGCUGCAGCGCACAGGGAACGCACGGAACCGAGCCGCAUGUUGCAUGCAGACGAGCCCGUUCGCUGGGGCAUGCGUUUCGUGGGGACUGGGCCUCAGCCGCAGACUGGGCUCCUGUGGGCAUCCUUCGGAAGAAGCCCAAAAGUCGUGCAGAUGGGCGCGCUGGGCGUUGCAGGAGCUCGCUUCUGUCUGGGGCGCGCACGCCUGCCCCCAAAGGAGCCCCAGGAAUCUCUCUCCUUGCAAGCAGCUCAGUUCAGCUGAGCUUCCCCGGCCCGCGGCCUUCCAGCGGCAUGGGCUGCGACUCCCAGUGUUCCUGCGCACUGGUCCGGAGGCAGGAUGGGGAAGGCAGGCCCAGGGAGUCCGGGGCUAGGGAUUCCCCCUCCAAAGAGGGGGCUGGGGGCUGAUCCAGGGCAGGCGCGGGCAGCCUUGCGGGCCACGGACGCAUCCAGCCGGUUUGAGAAGCGGUCCCGCACAUCCCUGCCAAACGGCAGUGCGGAGCAGCCCAGGUCAGCGGCUCGCAGGACUGGCAGGGGCGGCCCUGAGCCCCCAGAUGCAGCGGCGGCAGAAGCCAGUCCCGCAGCGACUCCAGCUCUGGGCAGGGAAGUGUCUGGAUUAAAAAGAGGAAGGGGGUCAAGGCACGUCGGAAAGGUACCCAGCGGGUGCCGGAGCCCCGUCCGCACGGCCUCCCCGGGCAUGGCAGAGGCGCAGGGAGCCGUCACGGGCACUCACAGAUCUUGGCCGCAUCCUCUAGCGGGGGGAGGCUUUCGGUGAAGCGUAAUUUAAUUGGUGUUUGUCAGAGCCCCUUUCUCCCACGGGGAACCCCACGCGGCUCACCACAUCCGCCUUCUCCCUGUUACGUCCUCACAACAACCCAGAGAGGCAGGCUAGGCAGAGAGCCGGAGAGCGUCAUGGCUGGCUGGGGACCGGAGUCCGGCCGCCCCAAAUCCCAGUCCAGCGUUCUAACCAC